ACUCCUACGGGAGGCAGCAGUGGGGAAUAUUGCACAAUGGGCGCAAGCCUGAUGCAGCCAUGCCGCGUGUGUGAAGAAGGCCUUCGGGUUGUAAAGCACUUUCAGUCGUGAGGAAGGUAGUGUAGUUAAUAGCUGCAUUAUUUGUACGUUAGCGACAGAAGAAGCACCGGCUAACUCCGUGCCAGCAGCCGCGGUAAUACGGAGGGUGCGAGCGUUAAUCGGAAUUACUGGGCGUAAAGCGCAUGCAGGUGGUUGUUAAGUCAGAUGUGAAAGCCCGGGGCUCAACCUCGGAAUAGCAUUUGAAACUGGCAGACUAGAGUACUGUAGAGGGGGUAGAAUUUCGAGGUGUAGCGGUGAAAUGCGUAGAGAUCUGAAGG
rnacentral:rRNA from 1 species